rnacentral:tRNA from 1 species
UGGGGUAGCUCUGCUGGUAGAGCAUGAGACUCUUAAUCUCAGAGUUGUGGGUUUGAGCUCCACAUUGGGCAAAA